GGGGUGGGUGGGGGUCCGCGGUACGGCGCCGUGAGCGCGCCGCCUGGGAAGGCUUCCGGAAGCCGCUCCUACCGGUAAAGCUCGCGGCGGCCGCAGCUCCCAUCCCGGCUGAGCCACGGCUGCUGGGACUCUGCCCCCGCCGUGCCGGGGAACCGCCCGUCCUCGCUGCGGGAGGAAGCGCCGCUCACCUGCGAGCAGCCGGGCGGAGGUUGGGGGUCCUCUGCCUCGCCUCUGGUCCGGCGCCGGCGGGACUGGGGCGCUGGGGAGGACGGGAGGAUCUGCCCGCUCCCGAUUGCUAAACUGCUAAGCGAGAUAAUGACGAGAGGAAAAGGAUUGACGAAUGGCUUGGGUGGGGACAGGUGAUUUCAGGGGUAAAUAUGCGCGGCGCGGUUGGGCGAGGAGAGGUGCGGGAGCCGAUAGCCGCCUGCAGAUGUUUGGGGAAGGUAAUCCCCGGGCCGGGGGUGGGGUUUGCUCAGAGCAAAAAGGCACGAUGAAGAGCAACGGGAUUAAACGAGUGAGAGGGACGCGUUUAGUGAGAUUACGGGGCGGCAGACCCCCCAGACCCUCCCCGACGCUGGAUCAGUAGAUCAGAUCAUUCGGCUCGCUGGCUGCAAGGAGCGCAGCAGGACGGGACAGCAGCUCCUGCCUCUGCAGCAAGCGGGAGGCUCCUCUGCCCCCGGCACAGACACCUCUCGGUCCUGGGCUCGGCCCGAGUGGGGUUAAGAAGCGAGCCUUUGCCCCUCUGUAGGAGCAGGGAGCCAAGCAGCACACCUCAGCGCUGGCCGGGUGGCUGCCAUCGCACGGACAACAGUGCUGCUGAUGCCUUCUCCAGACGAGACGCCCAAACAAGGCAGCUACCACCGGAACAGAGCAAGACAACUUGUUUAUCAGACAGAGGAAUGCUCCUCAGCAGUGCAGGGCAGGAGGAAGAGGGGGCUGCUGUCUCCAGGCCCAGCGUAGGCAGUUCAGAGAUGGCCUGCAUUGUUCUACAUCAGGAUAACGAGGCGCUUCCGCAGCCCCUUUCCUGUGGGAAUCCCAACAGGUUGUUGUCCUCCCCCUGCAGGAGGGGAAGUGUGGCACCAGGGGGGUGAAACGUCCCAUCUGACAGAUGUCUGCACUAAGUAGUACGUUCUUCUCUCCGCCUUCGGUGCUUUUCCUAGUCUUGAGCACCAGCCUUCACCUCUUCAGCCUUCCCUCCCACGGUAGAUGCAAGCAACGUGCGAGAUAUCUCCUAAGAAUGGAGAAAUGAGACAGCUCAACGCUGCGAUUUAGUAACAGAAGCAAAAGGGGACGUUAAUGGAAAACGAUUGCAGCUCUGAGUAAGACCCAAGAUAGGAAUUUCCCUUCUCUGUAAGAAAUCAGCUCAGAUUCUGCUGAUUGGGAUGCUCGGGAAAGGAUAUGACUAGCUCAGUGGCAGGGUCUCUCUUCCUAUAAACUGCAGAGCAAGCCAGGAUAACCAACUUGCACUUCGGCUUUGUCAGACAGACCUCGCCUUCCUUCCACAGUGAGUCCUACAGGGAGGUGAACCCAGCCAGCCUGAUUCACUGAGCCCUUCCAGGUGUGUGCUCAGCCAUCCACUGGCACAAGCACUGGCGAGGGCAAAGCAAAGGCCAGGCUGGUGCACAACACCAUGCUUUUUAGGACCCUGUUCCUGCAGGUCUCUAUCCACAGAGAGUAAGGCUUGAGAAGGAAGGAAGGUGCAGGUGCACGCCUGGACCUCAUCCCAGUCUGGCUUUGGGCGUCGAUGGAGUGACUGCUGUCAGUUGUGAGGGUCACUUCUGCACACAUACAGCCCCAGCUACCAAUUCCUGAGCACCUAAAUGAGAGAACCAUGCUCUCGCAGUUUGCUGGCAAGAUAUAGCCAGCAAAUUCUGGCAGUGAAUGUGGAUGCUGGUAUAUAAAGAGAGGAUCCUGCCAAUGGGACUAAAGGGUGUUGGUGCUUUUUCCAGUGCAGGUUAUUUGGCUUUGAGUACUAGUAAAAGUUGCACUAAUAAAAUGCCUCUAUUGUGUGCAGACUCUA